rnacentral:tRNA from 1 species
GGCUGUGGUUCAAUGGUAGAACACCAGCUUCCCAAGCUGGGAACGCGGGUUCGAUUCCCGUCAGCC